ACACUCCUACGGGAGGCAGCAGUGGGGAAUUUUGGACAAUGGGCGAAAGCCUGAUCCAGCAAUGCCGCGUGUGUGAAGAAGGCCUUCGGGUUGUAAAGCACUUUUGUCCGGAAAGAAAUCCUUGGCUCUAAUACAGUCGGGGGAUGACGGUACCGGAAGAAUAAGCACCGGCUAACUACGUGCCAGCAGCCGCGGUAAUACGUAGGGUGCGAGCGUUAAUCGGAAUUACUGGGCGUAAAGCGUGCGCAGGCGGUUUGCUAAGACCGAUGUGAAAUCCCCGGGCUCAACCUGGGAACUGCAUUGGUGACUGGCAGGCUAGAGUAUGGCAGAGGGGGGUAGAAUUCCACGUGUAGUAGUGAAAUGCGUAGAGAUGUGGAGGAAUACCGAUGGCGAAGGCAGCCCCCUGGGCCAAUACUGACGCUCAUGCACGAAAGCGUGGGGAGCAAACAGGAUUAGAAACCCGAGUAGUCCCAUG
rnacentral:rRNA from 1 species